UACGGAGGAUCCGAGCGUUAUCCGGAUUUAUUGGGUUUAAAGGGUGCGCAGGCGGAAGAUUAAGUCGGUGGUGAAAUUUUGCAGCUCAACUGUAAAAGUGCCAUUGAUACUGGUUUUCUUGAGUGUGGAUGAAGUAGGCGGAAUUUGUGGUGUAGCGGCGAAAUGCAUAGAUAUCACGAGGAACUCCGAUUGCGCAGGCAGCUUACUAAACCAUAACUGACGCUCAGGCACGAAGGCGUGGGGAUCAAACAGGAUUAGAUACCCGGGUA
rnacentral:rRNA from 1 species